rnacentral:rRNA from 1 species
ACAAUGGAGAGUUUGAUCCUGGCUCAGGGUGAACGCUAGCGGCAGGCUUAACACAUGCAAGUCGAGGGGCAGCAUAAUGAAGUAGCAAUACGGAAUUGAUGGCGACCGGCGCACGGGUGCGUAACGCGUAUGUAACCUACCUUUAACAGGGGGAUAACACUGAGAAAUUGGUACUAAUACCCCAUAACAGAUAAGAGGGCAUCCUUUUAUUUUGAA